rnacentral:sRNA from 1 species
AACACCAAAGUAUGGUAUGAAAAUCUCUCCACAAGGCUAUGAUUCUUCCUGGUACUGUUCCCUGAAGGAAGGCUUUUGCUAGCCCUAGGGACCUAGUGAUGUGGCCACAGAGUUUGAGUUUACGUUUUUCGACAGUGAGAUCCAAUUGCAGUAUUAAUCCUGUUUCUAAUCUCUUCACUCGUGAUGCAUUGCUUAAAAAACCUGAUAACAAAGGAGACCUUGAACGUGUGGAAGAAAAGUAUCACUAUUCAGAUGAUUCAUACAAAGAUACAGCAGUCGAACAAGUGAAAAUGUCUCUUG